rnacentral:rRNA from 1 species
GACGAACGCUGGCGGCGUGCUUAACACAUGCAAGUCGAGCGGAGCGGCGAACGGGUGAGUAACGCGUGAGUAACUGCCCCCCUCUCUGGGGUAACAGUUGGAAACGGCUGCUAAUACCGGAUAGUGGGGGAUGGCUCGCGUCCUAUCAGCUUGUUGGUGGGGUAGUGGCCUACCACGGCGACGACGGGUAGCCGGCCUGAGAGGGCGACCGGCCCCAUUGGUCUGAGAGAGGGCCCAAACUGCUACGGGAGGCAGCAGGGGGGAAUCUUGCACAAGGGGGGAAACCCUGAUGCAGAAACGCCGGGUGCGGGAUGUCGGCCUUCGGGUUGGAAACCGCUUUAAGCCAUGACGCGGUAGUGGCAGAAGAAGCACCGGCUAACUACGUGCCAGCAGCCGCGGUAAUAC